rnacentral:rRNA from 1 species
GACGAACGCUGGCGGCGUGCUUAACACAUGCAAGUCGAACGGAAAGGCCCUGCUUUUGUGGGGUGCUCGAGUGGCGAACGGGUGAGUAACACGUGAGUAACCUGCCCUUGACUUUGGGAUAACUUCAGGAAACUGGGGCUAAUACCGGAUAGGAGCUCCUGCUGCAUGGUGGGGGUUGGAAAGUUUCGGCGGUUGGGGAUGGACUCGCGGCUUAUCAGCUUGUUGGUGGGGUAGUGGCUUACCAAGGCUUUGACGGGUAGCCGGCCUGAGAGGGUGACCGGCCACAUGGGGACUGAGAUACGGCCCAGACUACUACGGGAGGCAGCAGUGGGGAAUAUUGCACAAUGGGCGGAAGCCUGAUGCAGCAACGCCGCGUGCGGGAUGACGGCCUUCGGGUUGUAAACCGCUUUCGCCUGUGACGAAGCGUGAGUGACGGUAAUGGGUAAAGAAGCACCGGCUAACUACGUG